rnacentral:rRNA from 1 species
UACGAAGGUGGCAAGCGUUGUUCGGAUUUACUGGGCGUACAGGGAGCGUAGGCGGUUGGAUAAGCCCUCCGUGAAAUCUCCAGGCUUAACCUGGAAAGUGCAGAGGGGACUGUUCAGCUAGAGGAUGGGAGAGGAGCGCGGAAUUCCCGGUGUAGCGGUGAAAUGCGUAGAGAUCGGGAGGAACACCAAUGGCGAAGGCAGCUCACUGGGACGAUACUGACGCUGAGGAGCGAAAGCGUGGGGAGCGAACAGG